rnacentral:tRNA from 1 species
CUGUGUGAUGGUGGUAUAGUGGUAAGCAUAGCUGCCUUCCAAGCAGUUGACCCGGGUUUGAUUCCAGGCCAUCGCAAAAGUUUUCCUUAAAGGCAGUGUAUAAUUGUAGCUUUUGUAGUUGGUUUGAUGUCUGUAUAGCAGUGCCUACAAUACUGCCAAGACCCCAGCCAGUACAAGCCAGCACGCCGAUUCAAACACCUCCGCCGAUGCAGAGUCCUCCACCAAAGAGUCGACGAAAUGCAUUCGCCAAAAGGGAGAGAGCGAAGAGGAUGCCGGUGCCGUGGAUUUAGAUCAUGCGGGCGAGUGGGUGGAAACAGAGCAGCUCGAGACACAGUAUUCAAGAUGGAGACACAGACGGGAGCGAACAUGCAGAUGAUGGUGACAGUGAUCCUGGAUUUUGGCGGAGAUCCUCUUUGGCAACAGAACACAAACAGUGUACAUAUGAAAACUGUACAAUUAUGGAAGCAAUUGAAGAACUGCUGUCAAGAAAAGGAUGUCAUGGAGGAAUUCAAUGAAUAUGAGGGACAUGGUGCAAACAACCUGCAUAACAGAUCACCCAGGAUUCAAAUCAAAGUGUCUGAAUGUUUGGGUGUUGCAGACAGCCUACCAAAGGUAUUCAAAGAGGGACAGACAACAAGCAGGUGA